rnacentral:rRNA from 1 species
GAUGAACGCUGGCGGCGUGCCUAAUACAUGCAAGUCGAGCGAACGGACGAGAAGCUUGCUUCUCUGAUGUUAGCGGCGGACGGGUGAGUAACACGUGGAUAACCUACUUAUAAGACUGGGAGAACUUCGGGAAACCGGAGCUAAUACCGGAUAAUAUUUUGAACCGCAUGGUUCAAAAGUGAAAGACGGUCUUGCUGUCACAUAUAGAUGGAUCCGCGCUGCAUUAGCUAGUUGGUAAGGUAACGGCUUACCAAGGCAACGAUGCAUAGCCGACCUGAGAGGGUGAUCAGCCACACUGGAACUGAGACACGGUCCAGACUCCUACGGGAGGCAGCAGUGGGGAAUCUUGCGCAAUGGGCGCAAGCCUGACGCAGCAACGCCGCGUGAGUGAUGAAGGUCUUCGGAUCGUAAAGCUCUUUUGUUAGGGAAGAACAUAUGUGUAAGUAUCUGUGGACAUCUUGACGGUACCUAAACAGAAAGCCCCGGCUAACUACGUG